UUGUCCUUGAAGACUGGAAGUGAAAAACUCCUUAUAUUCAGGAGUGCUGAAUUAUUAGGCAUGUUUUCUUGUCAUGCAUUGGUCAUAGAGCUCAUUGUAGCGGUGCCUCAGGUGUUGAAAUAGAUUUGUUAUACAUUAUACAGGUUCACACGUCCUCCGUCUGCAGUGCGUAUACAGUAUGUGUAUGCAGUUCAGAAGCAGCAGCGAGAGCGCGUUACUGUAACGCGAAAGAACAUUAAAAUAAUGCGCGAGCGCGAAUCUAUCCGCUCGCACGCAAAUUUCCUUUGCUUUGUCACAAAACCAGACACGCGUGCUCAGAUACAUGCUGCUCUCGCUCGGAGAGAAUGCGCGCACUUAAAACGUGUUUCCUCUGCUCAAACUGUGUCCUGUGCACUCACAACUCUCUCUAUGCUCAUGCGCUAGAUAUUAAUUCUAUUCGCA
ensembl:lncRNA